CACUAAUUCACUAAACUUACCAGUGUUUAGAUAUUUGCAAUGGACACAAGGCAACAAUGAUCGACCACCACAUAAGAACAGACCAGGUCUUGCUAACUUUGCCAGAUUUAAAGCCAUACUACAGCCCGAACUGUGUAAAUUCUACAACUGUGAAUUGAGCAAUGCAGAUGUGACUGAUGAAAUCACACGUGCAAAAUAUUCAUUCUACACGAAGUACUGUCGAAGAAACCUCGAACAAUUUGAGUAUAGUGCAGGCGCA
rnacentral:lncRNA from 1 species